ACCUGAGUUCUAAAUUUAUUUCUCAAAGAAGCCAAGCUCCCGAGAGAGAAAUGAUACUGUGAGAGUAUCUGCCUGGAAACCCUGUUGCCUGGAGACCAGUCUUGAAGAAAUCCACUGCUGUGGCCUCUUAAAGAUUUAAGACAUCUAAUGAAGAGCUGACAGAAAUAAUCAAUUUCUGUCAAUUUCUCCUCAGCAGUGUCAAAUCAUGAUGCAAUAGUGGAGUGAACUUAGUGUUUUUGGUAUGAAGAAGAUCUUCAUGUGUUUCCAUCAUCAGCAUCUCCUGUGCUCUUAAUCUUACCCUGCCUGACCCAGGUGCUCAUGCUGUGAAUUCUUUCAUUGUAGAAAAGAGUAACAGAUGUUGGCACCAUGCUCUUGGACUUCCCAGCUUCCAGAAUCAUGAGCCAAAUAAAUAUCUUUUCUUUAUAAA